rnacentral:lncRNA from 1 species
AAUUCUUGACACCUCAGCCAGAUUUUUUGCACCAGAUUUUUAAAAAAGAUACACCACACAUAGACGCACAUGUGUAUGUAUAUGCAUGUAUGUAUAUAGACACAUAAACAUACAUAUAGAUAUGUGUGUUUUUAAAUUUCCAGAGACCCACAUGCUUGCUAACACUUUGGACUGUGACUGACUUUGAUUCUGAUCUAAGGGUUAUGAGGGAAAGGAUGAUAUAAGAAAUAGGCCCAUUGUCUAUAUGAUACAUGAUAUAAUUCUCAAUUAGGUAAUUUUUUCUUCUUUCCCCCCAUUUUUCCUCAUGCUUUACAGCUUCUGUUGUAACUGUGUUUGAGGAAACUUUCAAUCCAUGAGACUUAUUUCUAGCCUAGAGAUUCUUAGACAUCCCAGUGAGGGCAACAAGUCUACUUAGGGAAGUCACUAUCCUUUCCCAGCUUAAGACAGAAUUCCAUUAACAGUGGCUAACUCUGUUGGACCUAAUGGAUGAAUGCAGUAUACUGCUAUGUCAAAUCUUCCUUAUAUUGAAAUUUAAACCAAAAAAGGAUUUAUAGAUGCCUGUCUCCUUCCUUUUAUUUCUUUUGCCUAUUUAGGGGGAUUAUCUUAGGGUACAGAUUGCCCUAGGAGAGAUGUGAAAAGGCAGGUCUUUUACACAUACCUAGCUUGUAUGAGGAGGAAAAAUAAAAUACCUUUUGGAUGUCUGAUGUAAAAUUCAAUAGACCUAGUAUUAGUAUGAAACAAACCACUGUAACUCACCAGGACAUUGAAAUUGUCCUUAGUAGUGGGGAGAAGCUUCCCCCUAUCUCUGGUAAUGCCCUUCAAUUGGGAAACAUUCUCUUUGGGUUAAAUAGGUUACUAGAUUGGAACCUUCAGCCUUGGGUAGGCAGUAAUAGUAACAAUAAUAAACUACUGUUGCUCCUUAAACUGUGAGAGUAAUCUUAGCUACCACUUUAGGUUUGAUAUCUAUUCUUCAAAAUUCUUGAGGUUAACCCCCAAUAAAUAAAGUUGAACAUAAAUAAAGCAAAACAUAAAAUCAUAUCACUGAUGGGCACAUUCUUGAGGGUCUGAAGACAACUUGUGUUGUAAUUGGUACCACUAGAAGCAUUAGCCUUACAAGAAAAUGUCUUUUCCAGAGUGCUUCAGACCUUUUCACAAAAAUUGUGAUUGCAAUUUCUUGUCUUUUAUUGUUUUUAUGAUUUAGCAAAAUGACCUGUUGGUACUAGAUGAGUUUGGGGAAGAUUGAGGAUAGAGCAUGUAUGAAGAUUUUCAUUACGCAGAAAGCAGUACUUGUGAAUGUAAUGUAUAGCAUUGGUCAUACAGUGUUUGCUGGGAAUUAAAAAAAAAAAAACUGAAUGGUCCUACUACAUGAUCGAUCAUCUGCUUCAUUAUGGUUGGUUGGGGAAGGGGGAAACUACUUUUCAAUCUAAAUAAAAUCACUAGCAUUGUUUAAUGACAAGACAUUUCUUGGUGGCAGUAGAUUACAAUUCAGACAACGUUUGGGUGUUAUUAACUUUAAAUGAAAAUUAUCAGCUUUGGAGAGGUUGACUAGAUUAAAAGGUAGGUAGCUACCUUAUUUUUAUCACCAAAGAGCAAGCCCAAAAAAUGGAGAAUCUUGGAGGAAGGAGCAGCUGGUGACUGUCUUAAAACUAAUUUUUAUUGAGAGGUUUGAUUUUUAUAUCAUCUUUGUUUAUCAUUUUUCCCUUUUCCCUCAACAAGAAAUAGGACUCUUUUUCUCUUUUAAUGACCUUUUUUUCUUAAUCUCUGGGUAAUUUUUUUUUUCUUAAUGUGUCAAACCAUAGAUACUGCAUGCAUUAUACCCUGAGUUUUUACCUCUUAUUAAGAUUUGAAAAAGGUAUAACUUUGGGAUAAGGAAAAUUACCAGUAAUUUCCAAAACACAUUUCCCAUGUUAAAUUUUUAAGAAUCUCACAUCUAUUUCGAUGAGCUCAUGUGCCUCUGGUGAAAGACUUGGGCCCUUGAUUAUCUAUCCCUACCAAUAACCGUGUAGGCAUGAUUUUCUCUUACUCUUUUUAAUAUCUCUCUUUAAAGGCUUAUAUGUUACAAAUCACUAUUUGCUACUGUCACAAUGAUUUACCAAACAAGACUUCAUCUAGUUUUCUCAUUUAAUUUUUUCUGUGAUUCUUAUUUUUUUUUUAAAUGUAUUUUAUUAAAUGGCUGGGCAAUCAAAAAUGAAUCUUUAGUUUUGACUGGCUUUGUUUAAAUUGAAGGAGUGUUCUGAAUUUGAAGAAAAUAUACCUUUUUAGGAGUCAAGUAUCUGGCUGCUCAAAAAAUUCCUUAAUUGAAUAUUGAAGCCACAAUACCCUUUGGAAAGUAUGUGUUAUGGAUGGUAGACUCUUUUA